rnacentral:rRNA from 1 species
CGGGUGAGUAAUGUCUGGGAAACUGCCUGAUGGAGGGGGAUAACUACUGGAAACGGUAGCUAAUACCGCAUAACGUCGCAAGACCAAAGAGGGGGACCUUCGGGCCUCUUGCCAUCGGAUGUGCCCAGAUGGGAUUAGCUAGUAGGUGGGGUGACGGCUCACCUAGGCGACGAUCCCUAGCUGGUCUGAGAGGAUGACCAGCCACACUGGAACUGAGACACGGUCCAG